rnacentral:rRNA from 1 species
UACGUAGGCAGCAAGCGUUGUUCGGAGUUACUGGGCGUAAAGAGUGCGUAGGCGGUUUCCUAAGUUUGGUGUGAAAUCUCCCGGCUUAACUGGGAGGGUGCGCCGAAGACUGGGGAGCUAGAGGAUGGGAAAGGCAAGCGGAAUUCCUGGUGUAGCGGUGGAAUGCGCAGAUAUCAGGAAGAACACCAACGGCGAAGGCAGCUCGCUGGGACGGUACUGACGCUGGAGACGCGAAAGCGUGGGGGAGCGAACAGG